ensembl:lincRNA
AUGUGGAGAAUUUCUUUAGCCAAAGCUCUGGCUUCAUUGAACACUAGAGAAUUCACACUAGAGCUAGGCCUCAUGUGCAUGGUGAAUAUAGGAUGUCCUUUAGCCAGAGCUCCACCCUUAGUUAAUCACAGAGCGUUCGCACUGGAGCAAAGCCCUGUGAAUUUGGUAAAUAUGGGAAAUCACUUCAACAGAAAGCCCUGGACUCAAUCAACACUGGAGAGUGCCUGCUGGAGAAAGGCUUCCAUAUUCACUAUAACAACUCAGGAGGAAAGCCUCUGUGAAUGUAAAGGAGGCAUCGAACUCCAUACAUCUGAACAUCCACAGUGGAGAGGUUCCCCACAAAUUCCAGAUUACCACCACUUGACCAUUUGGCAACUGAAUAACUUUGACCAUUAGAUUCUUCUCCCGUUACUGAACUGAACGGCCUUUCUGUUCUUGCCAUUUGCGGGAAUGUGUGUUUUGUUAAGUACAAGUCACAAGACUGGCUCAAUCCUUAAUGCAUCCAUCUGUUGGUUUCCCCAAUAUAGUUUAGUCAAUAAACAGAAUUCCAUUUCCAGAUUGGAAAAUCUAUGUUUUGUGGGCUGAAUUGUGUAUUCCCCCACAAAUCCUUACAUUGAAUCCCUACCACCUAAUACCUGAGAAUGUAGCUCUAUUUGAAGUUAGAGCCUUUAAAGAGGUGAUUAAGUUAAAAUAAGGCCAUGUGGACUGUAAUCCAACCUGGCUAGUGUCCUUAUAAGAAGAGGAAAUUUGGACACACACACAGACACACAUUCACAGAGAAAAAGCCGUGUGAGGACGCAGCGAGAAAGUGACCAUCUGAAAGCCAAGGAGAGAGGCCUGAAGAAACCAAACCUUCCAACACCUUGAUCUUGGACUUCCAGCCUCAGGAAUUGUGAGACAAUAAAUUUCUGUUGUUUAAGCCACCAAGUCUAUGGUAUUUUGUUAUAGCAGCCCUGGGAAACACCAAGAAAAGUUAGAAAUAUCUCACCAUAUUCUGGAGUUGAAAAUCUAUCUGUAUCAUUGUUCUUUCUCCAUUUUCAACUAAGUAUCUCUUAAUCCAGAAAUAAAUAUGAAUAUUAAGGAAGAAACUUAAUAAGAAUAUUUCAUUGAUCACCAAAUUUGUGCUAGGCAUUGUACUGGGUGCUUCAAGGAAUGUCAUUUUGUUCCCCUUUUAACAGCUCAGGAAACAGGAUCAGAGAGGUUAUGUAAUCACCCAAAGAUCAUACAUUUAGCAAAGGGGAUGAGACAGCAUUUGAAUGUAGAUCUAAGAGAAUUCAGUGGAGUAGACAAAGCAAAGGCUUUGGAGCCAUGUGACUUGGAUGUGUACCCAAGUUUGUUGCUAAGUUCUGGUAUCAGUCCCUUGUCUUCCAUGAGGCUCAUUUUCUUCAACUGUAAAAUGAGGAUACUACUACUUACCUUGCAGGGUUAGCAAGAAAACUAAAUGAAAUAACUUACAAAGGAACAAAAACAUAGUAGCUAUUUAAAAAGUCAGCUCCUCUAUUGUAGCUUGUGGUAGGAAAGUCAAAACAAGCCCCAGACCCCAGUACUAGCAGUAACUGUCUUAUGCCAGCAGUGGUUUUUGUUUGUUUGUUUGUUUCAAUAAAGAAAAAGCUUAUUUUUGUAUUGAUUUAUAUGUCAUUAUUUCAAAAUUCAGUAAACAUGUCUAUCAGGUGAGUGACUGGCCUGCCUCUGAGCCUGGGCCUGUGAUUGAGUGCUUCUUGGAAUGUCUGUGCUCACCAGUGUGCAUGGGAUGAAGGAAAAAUCAAUUUAAGACUAGCCUGGCCUAACAGGUCAGAACUGAGCUGACAGACACUAGGGUAUGGGAAAAUAUAUAUUUGCUCAAAGAGUGCUGAUUUCAGUCUAUAUUCAACUUGUAUUUCUUAAAUAAAUCGCCAUUCAGACAGGGCUAAAAGUACUGCUCAGCUACAGUUAUCUCAAAAUUAAGAGUUUAAUUUUCAAAAAAGAAGUAAUACUCAGUAGUCAGCCACACCUUGUGUCAAAGCCUCCUCCUUCAUUUUCUAGAUAAGUGACCUUGACCAGAUUCCCCAAACUCCUUAAACGUGUUUUGCUCAUCUGUAAAAUGACCACAAUAAUA